CUCUGCCCUCCUCUUUGUGCUGCUACCCCAUGUGCAACUUUGGAAAUCGACGUCAAGAGACACAGGGGCUCUCAGGGCAAGGGAGCCUCCGUUUCUGGAAAGCAUUUUCCUCACAGGCAGCGGCAGGCUCGGUUGUCUGGUGAGGGCUUCUCUCGCUUCCAAUACUGGGCCUCACACGCUGCGUCCUCACACGGCAGAAGAUUUCUUUAUUUACAUGUACUUCCUCAUGCAGCCAGAAUCCCAGGAGAAGUGCUUCUGAUUGAAAAGGGAUUACCUCCGUGUCACAGACGCACUUUGUUUUAGACUUUCCAACCUUUGUUACUUCUUUGAUGGGACAGCUGACGGUGCCCCUGAGUCCGGGCAGCCCAGCUCCCCACCCCAGAGCCCUCGUGGGCACACCAGGGCCCCGCCCGGGAUCUUCCUACCAAAGCUAUCAAGAAAGCCUGUCUGGCAGUGAGUGGAGAAUGACCUGCGGCUCUGGCCCGUCCGCCCAGGUGCGGUGGCGCUAAUUCAGACCGCCAUCUCCCGCCUUCCGCAGCGGUCUUCAAAUGGUCUCUUCCAUCCCCAAUUGGCUCUAAUAGCUUUCUCGGUAUAGAUGCUCCAGUCUCUUUUUUACCCAGCUGUCAGAGUUCAGCUUCUAAAAUGCAAAAUUGGUUGUGUCCCUCAGUAUUCGAGAAGGAUUGGCCUCAGAAUCUCCUUCCGAUACCAACACUCAAGUCCCUGAUACAAAAUGACACUAUAUUUGCAUACAGCCAACGCUCGUCCUCCUAUACACUUUAAAUCAUCUCGAGAUUACUCAUGACACCUGAUACAACGUAAAUGCUAUGUCAAUGGCUGCUAUGCUGUAUUGUUUAGGGAAUAAUAAUGGGGAAAAAAGUUUGUGUGUGCUCAGUGCAGAUGGGAUUUUUUGCCUAAUAUUUCAAUCUUGUUGGUUAAAUCCAUAGAUGCAGAACCCCAUGGAUGCAGGGCGCUGACUAUAUUUUACUCUUCUGCUGAAAAUAUUUAAAUGAUACAGGCUAAAGCACUCACUCCUUUAGAACAGACUGUAAAAUGAGUCAUGCUCCUGCUCACACCCCAUCUCCUGCCUUGUACCCCUCCACUCUGCACUUUCUACUGUUCUCCUGCCACGCUGAGCUACCUGCAGGUUCUAGAAGGGGGGGCUUUUGGGUCUCUUUGUAAGAAAUGAGAGAUUACCCUUCCCUUCCCCUUUCUGUCAACAUUUGGUCUAACUUCCUCUUACAUAUUCCCUGAUGCUCUCUAUGUCCCUUACGGACACAUGUUUACCUCGCUACAGUAUAAAUGACAAUCUUCUUCUCUGUCUGUCCCACUGAGAAAGGGACCACAAGCAUGCACAAGAACUCCUCCAAGACCAAGCAGGCACCUGUCAGCACUCCUGAGUAAUUCUAAGUGCAAUGGCUGGAUGAGAACUUGUAGCAUGAGGAAUUAAGAGGGAACCCUUGGGGGCAUGAAUAUGUAUUGCUCAGGUAAAAAAAGAAGAAUAAGCAAAAUAAAUUGAGAAUAUUUUCCAAAAGAUAGGAAAAAAGGCACAUGAGGUUGUGGAGACAGAGAGUGGAGUGGGCUCGGAGUAGAGGGAGGGCUUCAUGCAGUAGCAGUGGACACUCGCUCACCCGCACUCAGGUCAGGAAACUUGGGGCUGGAAAGUGUGUAUUGGAUCCAUGCCCGUGAAAAGUUUCAGCGUAGCAACGGACAGGGGUGAAUUGUGGCAAGUAAAAGAGAAGAAAAAGGAAAAAGUGCACUGGAGGAUUUUAAGUAUAUCAGUGACUUUCACUGGUAGUUCUGAUCAAGUGGCAGGGCUAGAAGCCAAUUGCAUGUGGUCAAAGGCCGAGGGUGGUAAUGGCUGGGAGACUUGCUUUGCACCCACCAGGCCUGGAAGCAGAGGUUCAGGACGACGUGGACAACAGCUCGGAGAGGAACCAGCUGGAGAGAGACACGUUCAGAGCUGGAAAGGGAGGAACAAGGGAAGAGGCAGAAUUUGGAGAUUCAAGUACAAAAAGCAAUAAUCAAUGGAAGGAAAAGAGAGACUAUCAGAUGACCUGACAUCUUGAGAGGGGCCAUCUGUUGAGAGUUCCUGGGGUUUAGAUGGAGCAGCAGGGGCCUGGGGAGACGUUUGGUGAGCCCUCUGCAAGGACACCAGCGUGACCCUCUGUGGCCCACGGCUCCGCCUGGCAGGAAUCAGGCCCUGCUCCUGUGCGUGUGAGGCGAAGCUGAGCA